UACGGGGGGGCAAGCGUUGUUCGGAAUUACUGGGCGUAAAGGGCUCGUAGGUGGCCAACUAAGUCAGACGUGAAAUCCCUCGGCUUAACCGGGGAACUGCGUCUGAUACUGGAUGGCUUGAGUUCGGGAGAGGGAUGCGGAAUUCCAGGUGUAGCGGUGAAAUGCGUAGAUAUCUGGAGGAACACCGGUGGCGAAGGCGGCAUCCUGGACCGAUACUGACACUGAGGAGCGAAAGCCAGGGGAGCAAACGGG
rnacentral:rRNA from 1 species